GACUCAGUGGUGUAACGGUAACAUGCUUGCUUUUUGUGGAGCAUAUGUCAUGUCAUUAAUGCAGGUGAUCCCUGUUCGAAUCAGGGCUGGGUCA